CUGAGUUAUAACAACUCCCAACCCAUGUGAACUUACCUUCUGUUGCCUCGGCAGGGCCCAUCCGGGCGAGGUCAUCUCGACCUCGACCGCUGGCGGCCUGCCGGUGGACUACUAAACUCUUGUUUUUUUGUGGAACUCUGAGUAACAAAACAUAAUAAUCA
rnacentral:misc_RNA from 1 species